CAUUAUAAAGGUAGGGAGGAUAAGCCUAUGUGUUCCAGGUUAUUAUAUUUGUCUACUCAGUUCUCCUCGCUGUUUUGGCUGCAAAGGAGCACCCAUCUUAAUGUUCUUGCAGGGUAAUAAACAGCUGCUGCAUUUCAACUUGGAGGUGAUGGCAUUUUGCGGUGGAUAAAAUGAUUCAUGGCUUGGGUUCUUUUGAGCUGAAAGAACCAAUGGGGUCGGUAUUCCCAGGAUGGGGAGACUUGGACAGGGUGCCAGAACUCAGCCACUACACGUGGGACUGCAAGAAGAGAGAGCUGUAAACUACUGCAGGGAAGAAACGUUUUCCAGAUGACACUGCUCCAUAAAUGGUGUGGUAGGAUGUCAAUUAACUGUGAUGGGAGUUGCACAUCUCUAGAGUCUUCACGAGAUCUCUUUUGACAAUGAAGUGUCAUUUUGGAGAUAAAUGAAACAUGUGU